CUCUCUCUCCCUCCUCAUUCUUCAUUGAUACUCUUUAUCUUUACGCUUAUUUUCCUUUCUCUCAUCCUUCCACUUCUUACUCUUUCUCUUCCUCCCUCCCUCUUACCCCACUCGCUCGCUCUUCCUUCCUCCUUCACCCACCGCCUAACUUUUUCCCCCCGCACUUCCCUCUCUCACUCAUUUGCACUCCCUCACUCACACACAAUCACUCGACAACCUGUCAUGGCAACACCUCUCGGCUGCCGGUUUUCAUUCAUGUAUCUAGAAUGGGACUUGCGAAACUUUUCCUUAUCUACUCCAGCUUGUGUACUGUAUGUCUUCUGCCGUUUCACCACGAUGAAAGGCUAUUUGUAAGGGCUGAAAACUUCGUCGUCAAUAAAAACCAGGAUAAGGACGGGGACAGGAGCAAGCGGACAGCAGCUGUGAUUCGAAACAAUUCUCAGGCGAAUCUAGCUCACUCAUAUCAAACUCAAGGACUGUUGACCGGCCUACCCUAGAAAAGUCAUGUACUUUUCGAUUUUUUUAUCACUGAGUCUGGAACAAAACCAUGUCUAUGGCCCUCAUGGGAGAGAGAGGUACGAAGGUAUCUGCAAACCGGAGACUUGACCUGAAUACUGGCAAAUGAGUGGACUCCACGAAAGAUGUUCUAAGUGACGAUUAAGUAUGUUAAACUGGACAAUGAUUAAAUUUACAUCCAAAUAGUCCUCGACGUGAUUUGAACUCAAAAUGCAAAGAACCGGAACAAAUACCCAUGUACUGCAUUGCAUAUUGUCUGGUACUUUAGUCAUUCUGCUAACCUACGAUCCUGGAUUAUUAUAUCGUAUUUAUCGAACCCCGAAAGGAUGAAAAGCAAAUUUGACUUGGCCCAGGCGGGAUUUGAACUCUGAGCGCAAAGUGUCGGAAUAAAAGCAGCGAGUCAUUCUAUCCGGCGCUCUAACCAUUCUGCUGGUCUGCUACCUUUGAUUGGUACUUUAACAGUCCCUGAAAAGAUAAAAAGUAAAUUUGAAUUGGCCUCGGCGGAAUUUGAACUCAGAACGGGUUGUAAGGGUUAGCUGGUCGAUCUGAUUAGGGAGGGGAGGUGAGGCAUUUAGAGUUGGAUCUCAUUGACUUAAAAUGCUACCACAAGAAAU